AACGAACGCUGGCGGCGUGCCUAACACAUGCAAGUCGAACGAGAAAGGGGCUUCCGCUCCGAGUAAAGUUGCGCACGGGUGAGUAACACGUGGGUAACCUGCCUCUAAGAUUGGGAUAACUCGUCGAAAGAUGAGCUAAUACCGAAUAAGACCACAGUUCCCGCGGGAACAGGCGUCAGAGGUAGCCUCUGCUUGCAAGCUAUCACUUAGAGAUGGGCCUGCGCACCAUUAGCUAGUUGGUAGGGUAACGGCCUACCAAGGCAAAGAUGGUUAGCUGGUCUGAGAGGAUGAUCAGCCACACUGGAACUGAGACACGGUCCAGACUCCUACGGGAGGCAGCAGUGGGGAAUAUUGCGCAAUGGGCGAAAGCUUGACGCAGCAACGCCGCGUGAGUGAUGAAGGUCUUCGGGUCGUAAAGCUCUGUCGGGAGGAACGAAUGCUCCUGAGGUUAACAGCCUCGGGAGGUGACGGUACCUUCAAAGGAAGCACCGGCUAACUCUGU
rnacentral:rRNA from 1 species